rnacentral:rRNA from 1 species
CCGUCAAUUCCUUUGAGUUUUAGUCUUGCGACCGUAAUCCCCAGGCGGAUCACUUAACGCGUUAGCUACGGCACAGCAGGAAUGAGUACCCGCUACACCUAGUGAUCAUCGUUUACAGCGUGGACUACCAGGGUAUCUAAUCCUGUUUGCUCCCCACGCUUUCGCGUCUCAGCGUCAGUUACCGUCCAGAAGGGCGCCUACGCCACUGGUAUUCCUCCCGAUCUCUACGAAUUUCACCUCUACACCGGGAAUUCCCCCUUCCUCUCCAGUACUCAAGAAAUGCAGUUUCCAAUGCACUUCCCAGGUUAAGCCCAGGGCUUUCACAUCAGACUUGCAUCCCCGCCUACACGCGCUUUACGCCCAGUAAUUCCGAAUAACGCUCGCACCCUCCGUAUUACCGCGUCUGCUGGCACGGAGUUAGCCGGUGCUUCCUCUGGUGGUACCGUCAAACCUCAACCGUUUCUUAUCAAGGCCUUUCUUCCCACCUGACAGGGCUUUACGACCCGAAGGCCUUCAUCACCCACGCGGCGUUGCUGCGUCAGCCUUGCGGCCAUUGCGC